UACGUAGGGUGCGAGCGUUAAUCGGAAUUACUGGGCGUAAAGCGUGCGCAGGCGGUGAUGUAAGACAGAUGUGAAAUCCCCGGGCUCAACCUGGGAACUGCAUUUGUGACUGCAUCGCUGGAGUGCGGCAGAGGAGACUGGAAUUCCUGGUGUAGCAGUGAAAUGCGUAGAUAUCAGGAGGAACACCAGAAGCGAAGGCGGCUCACUGGCCCGAUACUGACGCUGAGGCGCGAAAGCGUGGGGAGCAAACAGG
rnacentral:rRNA from 1 species